rnacentral:sRNA from 1 species
GCGAGCGGAGUCCGACUCCGGUGUCACG